GUGCGCCGGGCGGGCGGGCACUGCAGCUUCUUCCUCCGUGGAGCGGAGAGCGAGAGAGAGCUACAGCGAACGAGAGAGCGGCGAAGGCGGGUAGAGGGGCGCGGGCGAGGCGGCGCAGCCAUCCCCGGACCAGGGGCCGCGCCGCCACCAUGCUAAACAACCUGACGGACUGCGAGGACGGCGAUGGGGGAGCCAACCCGGGUGAUGGCAACCCCAAGGAAAGCAGUCCCUUCAUCAACAGCACUGACACAGAGAAGGGAAAGGAGUAUGACGGCAAGAACAUGGCCUUGUUUGAGGAGGAGAUGGACACCAGCCCUAUGGUGUCCUCCUUGCUCAGUGGCCUGGCCAACUACACCAACCUGCCCCAGGGAAGUAGGGAGCAUGAAGAGGCAGAAAACAAUGAGGGUGGAAAAAAGAAGCCGGUGCAGGCCCCACGCAUGGGCACCUUCAUGGGCGUGUACCUGCCGUGCCUGCAGAACAUCUUUGGCGUCAUCCUCUUCCUGCGGCUCACCUGGGUGGUGGGCAUUGCAGGCAUCAUGGAGUCCUUCUGCAUGGUGUUCAUCUGCUGCUCCUGUACGAUGCUCACGGCCAUCUCCAUGAGUGCAAUUGCAACGAAUGGUGUUGUGCCUGCUGGUGGCUCCUACUACAUGAUUUCCAGGUCUCUGGGCCCAGAGUUUGGGGGCGCCGUGGGCCUCUGCUUCUACCUGGGCACUACCUUUGCAGGAGCCAUGUACAUCCUGGGCACCAUCGAAAUCCUGCUGGCUUACCUCUUCCCAGCCAUGGCCAUCUUCAAGGCAGAAGAUGCCAGUGGGGAGGCAGCAGCCAUGCUGAACAACAUGCGUGUUUACGGCACCUGUGUGCUCACCUGCAUGGCCACUGUGGUGUUUGUGGGUGUCAAGUAUGUCAACAAGUUUGCCCUUGUCUUCCUGGGUUGUGUCAUCCUCUCCAUCCUGGCCAUCUAUGCUGGGGUCAUCAAGUCUGCCUUCGACCCACCCAACUUCCCGUGAGUGCUGCUGCUCUGAGCCCAAGGAAUCGUCCUCCUACCUCCCUGGCCCUGUUUCAGAGUCUCUGCCAAACUCCCCCUCCCUGCCCCUCAGAAUCUCAGAGUGGUGUGGGUUGGGAGUAGCUUCCCUUGGGAGGGAAAAUCUCUCUUAGUUUGGGGGCAAUCUCUUCAGAGUGAGGUAACUUUUCUGGAGGAGGGAACAAUUUACCUUGUAAGAGUCAACUUCUUGCUGGUAGGGUGGACUUAGGAAGAAUUAAGUGGGAAUGAGUUCCAAAGCAAUGAAUGCUGUCUGUGGUAGGGAAACCUUUCCUGGGUGGGGACAACCUCCUGGAAUGGGACAAUCUCCUAGUGUUGGACAACUCCUCCAGGAUGGGAAAAGACACAGAAGUCUAGAGGGUCCAGGGACUCAGAUCCAAGUCCACUCCAUCCACUGCUCAGAGGUGGAGGGCGGCCCCCGAGACCGCUGUCCACGGUGCUGAAACACAGCAUUGCACUAAUGCGGUGCUUCUCCACCUUGGCGGCUUAUUAGAAUCACUUGGGGAGCUU
rnacentral:sRNA from 1 species